rnacentral:lncRNA from 1 species
GGGUCUCCAAUAUUUUGUUCUAUAACAAAACAUCCACGUGUUCAUUUAAGUGUCACCACACUUUAACUUGUGAGAUCAACUACUUACUUCACAAGUAAGAAAUGCCACAAGUGAUGAUCUGUCCAUAAUAAGAUAUCCGUAUCUCGUUAUUACAAACGACCAUGGACGAUCUAAGAUUCAAUCAUAUGUAAUUUGUAUCUCACAAUCACAACUCCUUGUGAUUAACAAAUUAUGAAGAUUUGAAUCUAGGGACUCUAUUAUUUAAUUUAAUUGUCUACUAAUUAAAUAAUAGAUCUGCCAUUAAAUUGCAUUAAUUAUAUAUCAAAAGAUUUAUGUCCAAGGUUGAUUGGACCUAGGGCAUAACACUUACAAACUCCCACUUGCACUAGAUCCAAUCACUUAUGUAUCCAAUAUCAUAAGAGUCUACAUGAUGAUCAUGUUUAAGCUACGACAACUUUUUGUCAGUGGAUCUGCAAUAUUCUUAAAUGUGGGAAUUUGUUCUUUUCUUUACGUCAUUUCUAUGUAUUAUUUCUCUUAUAAGAUUAUACCGCCUUAAUAUAUGUUUGGAUCAUUGAUGAGACCUUAGUUCCUUUGCUUUCGCGAUGGCUCUAUUGUUAUCAAAAUAAAAUGGCAUGUGAUCAACAAUAUCAGGAACUACUCUAAGUUCAUUUAUGAACGCCACGAUCCAUAU